UACGGAAGGUCCGGGCGUUAUCCGGAUUUACUGGGUUUAAAGGGAGCGCAGGCGGAGGAUUAAGCGUGACGUGAAAUGUCCCGGCUCAACCGUGGAACUGCGUCGCGAACUGGUUUUCUUGAGUGAGUGCGACGUCGGCGGAAUUCGUGGUGUAGCGGUGAAACGCUUAGAUAUCACGAAGAACCCCGAUUGCGAAGGCAGCCGACGAGUCCUUAACUGACGCUAAAGCUCGAAAGUGCGGGUAUCGAAC
rnacentral:rRNA from 1 species